rnacentral:rRNA from 1 species
UAGCAGGGGGGCGAAGCGUUGUUCGGAAUUACUGGGCGUAAAGGGCUCGUAGGCGGCCGGCUAAGUCCGACGUGAAAUCCCCAGGCUUAACCUGGGAACUGCGUCGGAUCACUGGCGGCUUGAAUCCGGGAGAGGGAUGCGGAAUUCCAGGUGUAGCGGUGAAAUGCGUAGAUAUGUGGAGGAACACCGGUGGCGAAGGCGGCAUCCUGGACCGGUAUUGACGCUGAAUAGCGAAAAGCCAGGGGAGGCAAACGGG